ACGCCGCGUGAGUGAUGAAGGUUUUCGGAUCGUAAAGCUCUGUUGUUAGGGAAGAACAAGUGCAAGAGUAACUGCUUGCACCUUGACGGUACCUAACCAGAAAGCCACGGCUAACUACGUGCCAGCAGCCGCGGUAAUACGUAGGUGGCAAGCGUUGUCCGGAAUUAUUGGGCGUAAAGGGCUCGCAGGCGGUUUCUUAAGUCUGAUGUGAAAGCCCCCGGCUCAACCGGGGAGGGUCAUUGGAAACUGGGAAACUUGAGUGCAGAAGAGGAGAGUGGAAUUCCACGUGUAGCGGUGAAAUGCGUAGAGAUGUGGAGGAACACCAGUGGCGAAGGCGACUCUCUGGUCUGUAACUGACGCUGAGGAGCGAAAGCGUGGGGAGCGAACAGGAUUAGAUACCCUGGUAGUCCACGCCGUAAACGAUGAGUGCUAAGUGUUAGGGGGUUUCCGCCCCUUAGUGCU
rnacentral:rRNA from 1 species